AGGUAGUGACAAGAAAUAACAAUACAGGGCUACUGUCUUGUAAUUGGAAUGAUGGUGACUUAAACCCUCACCAGAGUACCAAUUGGAGGGCAAGUCUGGUGCCAGCAGCCGCGGUAAUUCCAGCUCCAAUAGCGUAUAUUAAACUUGUUGCAGUUAAAAAGCUCGUAGUUGAAUUUCAGCCUGUUGCACUAGCUCGAGUAGCGCGUUGCGAUUGGCUUAUUUUAUUACUUUGAGAAAAUUAGAGUGUUUCAAGCAGGCUUUUGUCUUGAAUACUUGAGCAUGGAAUAAUAGAGUAGGACCUUGGUUCUAUUUUGUUGGUUUUGUACCUUGGUAAUGGUUAAUAGGAACG
rnacentral:rRNA from 1 species